GUGAUUGCGGCCUAUCAGCUUGUUGGUGGGGUGAUGGCCUACCAAGGCGACGACGGGUAGCCGGCCUGAGAGGGUGACCGGCCACACUGGGACUGAGAUACGGCCCAGACUCCUACGGGAGGCAGCAGUGGGGAAUAUUGCACAAUGGGCGCAAGCCUGAUGCAGCGACGCCGCGUGAGGGAUGACGGCCUUCGGGUUGUAAACCUCUUUAAACCAGGGACGAAGCGCAAGUGACGGUACCUGGAGAAGAAGGACCGGCCAACUACGUGCCAGCAGCCGCGGUAAUACGUAGGGUCCGAGCGUUGUCCGGAAUUACUGGGCGUAAAGAGCUCGUAGGUGGUUUGUCGCGUUGUUCGUGAAAACUCACAGCUUAACUGUGGGCGUGCGGGCGAUACGGGCNGACUGGAGUACUGCAGGGG
rnacentral:rRNA from 1 species